GUGAUCACAUGAUGAUGUGGGAUGCCUCCAGAACAUUCAAAUGGAAAGUGUGAGACACUCAUAGGUCUGGAGGUUAGAUAAGAGGACAUCAGAGAUUCCUUACAGUACUAACAUUCUAGAAUGCCAUGACUUCAGCAUACUGGCUUUUAAAGUACAAAUCAUCUUCAGAAGAAAAUCCCUUUGUCUUUGGGUUGAGCAAGUAAAAGACCCAGGGAGAGCAACCUUGGAAGAUGUUAUAAAGAUACCAUAUUGCAGAUAAUGAAACUGAGGUUCAGAGAGGCCCAAUAGUCGACACAAAACCAAGGUGGGAAUGUGAAUCUGUUUUUCAUUCUGUGACCCUGUGGUGCCCUUCUCUACAGCUGUUCAUCCACAGACCUUCAAAGGAUGUGCCACCAGGCUCAGCUAUGCAGUAAACAGUCCCGGCAAAGGAUCUUUGUGCAGAUUUGUGAUUAAAGGCAAACAAGAUAAUCAGUCCCAGGACCAGGGGAGAGCCGUCCUCACUCUCAUGCAUUCCUCCAUUCACACGGCCCUGGAAACCUUUCGGUGUGGCAGUGGCUGUGGCAAUCACUCUGCCGACUGCAGAAUAAAGGGUCCUGUCUGGAAAUGCAAUUAUUUCCACAUAAAAGGUUUUUAAAAGACACAUACGCACGCGCGUGCAUGCGCACACACACACACGAUAGCAUUUUUGGUUUUCAGAAACUGAUAUUCCCAAUAAGGACAAAAAUUAACUUUGUAAAAAAUGAAGAUGAUGAAGACAAUGAAGAGAUGGUGAUGAUGAUGAUGGAUGAAGAUUGUGGUGACAAGCAUGAUGAAUAUAUUGAGAAGGUGAAGAUGAUGAAGAUGAAGAUGGUGAUGAUGAUGGUAGCAGCAACCACCAUUUUCUGAGCCCAUAAAUGUGCCACUCACUAUGUUGGCUACUUUAUAGACAUUACCUCUAAUUAUUACAAUAACCCUGUAAGAUAAAGUUUAGCACCUCCAUUUAACACAUGAGAAACUGAAGCUCAUAGAAGUGAAGUAAGCUGCCUGAGGUCACAACCUUAGGCAUGAAAAAGGAUUGACAGAGAUUACUGCUUGAAUUAUUACUCCAAAUCCUGUGCCUAUAACCACUAACAUAACCACUUCAUUUGUUUACUCCUUCAUUUAUUUAAAAAAUUUAUUCAUC